UGGAGUUCUACCGGAGGUUGCUGGUGGACCUGGAGGGUGUUGGCAAGGGAGUGGCAGCCCUGAUCAUCACAGCCAGGUGUCUCGUUCCUGAGCUCCAAGUGUCCUCCCCAGUGCUGCUGUGUGAUGAGUGCCACCUGAAGGUGCCCUAUGAGAGGAAGAUCCUCAUUAGGAAUCCCAGCCACCUUCCUGGCUGCUACGGGCUUAUUCCCCAGAAACGCAAGGAGGACUCUGCUGUGCUCUACUCCAGCCCCAAGCCCUGUGGGAUUGUGCAGCCCCAGAGCACAGCAGAGAUCCCAGUUGUGGUGGCAGUGCAGGCCCUGGGCACUCAUCGCACCGACGUUCUCAUCGGCGUGUUCGGGGAUGAGAGGAACCCCCUGGUGAGGGCAAGGGGAGCUGUGAGCCUGUGUGCAGCUGCUCCUGGCAGGGUGCACGGGGACAGGGAUUCUGCCGGGGAAAACAGGCACAGGCUGCUGGGGAGAAGGACAGGAGGGA